CUUCUUCCUCUCUUUCUCUCUCACACACACACCUCUAUCUAUGUCUAUCUCUUUCUCUGUCUCUAUCAACAGUCUCAGCAGACCCCCAGCAUCAACUGCCAGACGUGUGAGUGAAUGAGCUUUUACGAUUCCUGCCUCUAGCGUUGAUGUCUUCCAGUUGAGGUUCCAGACAGCAACAAAGAGAAGCCAUGCCUACUAUGCCCUGUUCAAAUUCCUAGUCUAUAGAAUCCAUAAACACAGUGAUUGUUUGUUUUAUGCCAUGAAGUUUUGAGCUAGUGCAGUAGAGUUAAAACGCAAGUAAGCCUAUGGAAUCCAAAUAAAUGAGAUGGAGUUUGGGGCACAAUGAGAAGAAAGAGUCAGAGGAAUCCGUACACAUGAGAGAUUUGUCAAUUAUAUCAGAUUUUUGCAAGAAAUACUCAACUUAUUUACCUUCUUAAUUGCUAGUGAUAUGCAGUACGAUACUCUCUCAUCAUGCUGGACAGCAGCAAUGAGCCUCAGCUCGCACUCAGCCUUACGAUCACAGGAGUAGCUUUGGAAAUGCCAGAGCUGGAGUGGAGCAAUCGGGCAAGUGUGGAAACUACAGGAUGAGUUGAGCUCAUGUUCAGGUAGGAUCACCUGAUGAUUAUUUUUUCUGAGAUCCCAGGUGCUACACGCUUCAUGACACCCGCUUGUCAACUUCUACUGGAGAACAACUGAGAAAGGUUACUUUCAUUGGAAUACUUGCCCACUAUGCACAUAGUGUAUCUCAG
rnacentral:lncRNA from 1 species